rnacentral:lncRNA from 1 species
GCUAUAUCCUGUCCUUAAUUAUUUCAUCUACAGAGAUGAUGAUCAAUUGAACCUUCUUCUCUCUCUCGCCCAGUCACUGUAACUUCGGUUGAUGAUUCUCUCCCUUACCUUGCAUAGGGUGUGCCACUCUUAAUGUAAAUUUUAUCAUACCAAAUUAAAAUAAAAUAAGGUUAUUAUUAUUUUCUUAACUAAUAGUCUGGAUGAAUCUUUGCUUAAAGUUGGUUAUUAAGGAUGCAUGUUUUCCAUGAAUGUUUU